rnacentral:ncRNA from 1 species
UUCGGCCUCGCUGCAUUUCCUUAUGCAGCCCUCUGCAUGCCGUCGCCGAUUCAUUCCUACUCGAACUCGUUCGCGAUCCUGUCGCCUUCUCUGCGGCGCGGC